AUCAGCAGUUAUUAAAUCCAUUUCCGACUGAGACUACAGCUCGCUCAGGUUCUUCACAGGCCUCCUUCCUGAACUGACCUGAUUCUCCUGCCAUGAAGGUUUUGCUGGAGGUUGAAAAGGGAUUCAGUCCUCCCUGAGUGCUGAGGAAGACCAAAGAGCACGAGCUGUCAAACCGGAAAUCGUGCCAGCAGAAUGCUCAUUGAACACUUGAUGUCAUAUGUCAUCUGACACUGGCUUUUCAUUCAGGUCAUUUCAGGAUAAGCAAGAAGACAUCAAAACACCAGCGAUGAACGUAUCAUGAGAGGACAGAGCGUCAUCAUGCAAAAAGUUACCCAGACUUUAAUGGUUCCCUGAUCACUUGAGCCUUCCCAGAAAAUGAGGACUGCCCUCAAGGACUCUGCCUCCAUUUCCAGGUACCAUUUAAGCCAUUAAGCCUUCUUUCUCUUGUGGUCUUUGCU
rnacentral:lncRNA from 1 species